rnacentral:rRNA from 1 species
AGCGAACGUUAGCGGCGGGCCUAACACAUGCAAGUCGAACGAGAAUGAGGGGGCAACUCCUCUAGUAAAGUGGCGGACGGGUGCGUAACACGUUGGUAAUCUACCUCCCGGCGGGGGACAACAGUCCGAAAGGAUUGCUAAUACCGCAUACGUCGGCGAGAUCUCCGGAUCUUGUCGGGAAAGAUGGCCUCUCCUUGGAAGCUGUCACCGGAAGAUGAACCUGCGGCCCAUCAGCUGUUGGUGAGGUAACGGCUCACCAAGGCUAAGACGGGUAGCUGGUCUGAGAGGAUGAUCAGCCACACUGGGACUGCGACACGGCCCAGACUCCUACGGGAGGCAGCAGUGGGGAAUAUUGGACAAUGGGCGAAAGCCUGAUCCAGCCAUGCCGCGUGAGUGAUGAAGGCCUUAGGGUUGUAAAGCUCUUUUACUCGGGAAGAUAAUGACUGUACCGAGAGAAUAA